AUCCUACUCCAUGGCUGUUGCUGCUGUUACCAGGGCUAGCUGUUUCUGUCGGCGUUUCCCUAAAUCGCUGAACCAUAUCACAACAUCAACUCAAAUUAAAGCUGCCAAAGGAUUACUUUGAGCAUGUUGUGACCACUACUCGACGGUCAGGUUUUUUCCCCCCCACGGUUUCAAGUCAGGAUGGCGAGCUACCACCGGAUCACCGCAGCUUUGCGUUGGACGAUUGUUGGUGAAUCAUUAAUCACCUUAAAAGAAAAAAAAAGAGAAAGAAACGGACUUGAAUGAGAGAAAGAAAACCUCUUGUGUCUCAUCAG